GCGGGUAUAGUGGAAUUGGUUGACACCCAGGAUUUAGGUUCCUGUGCCGCAAGGCGUGUGGGUUCGAGUCCUACUAGGGUCU
rnacentral:tRNA from 1 species